rnacentral:rRNA from 1 species
CGGCUUGGCAAGUCCCCUGGGAAAUCUGGCCGCUUAACGGUCAGACUGCUGGGGGAUACUGCUAGGCUUGGGACCGGGAAAGGCUGAGGGUAUUCCCGGGGUAGGGGUGAAAUCCUGUAAUCCCGGGAAGACCACCUGUGGCGAAGGCGCUCAGCUGGAACGGGUCCGACGGUGAGGGACGAAGGCCUGGGGAGCGAACGGGAUUAGAUACCCCGGUAGUCCAGGCUGUAAACUAUGCGGACUAGGUGUCACUAGAGCCACGAGCUCUGGUGGUGCCGUAGGGAAACCGUUAAGUCCGCCGCCUGGGAA